ACCGGGCAUUUAGGGAAUCUGCAGAAGACGAGAAUCCAUAUACACCACCACCAGAAGAUCAGAUAUUUCUUGAGUAGCAGUUUGCUUCGUGUGGAAUGUGGGCGCGUAAAGAUUAUGACCAACUUCUGUUUUUGUAACUCACGAAAGAAUCAAGACGAAAACUUUUGGUUUUGAUUUUGAUUUAUGUUAUUUAAAUUUGUGACCAACAUUAUGUAUGUAUUAUGUGACCAACAUUAGGAAUUUUUAUCAUUUGCCAACUUUUGUUUAUGUAUGGAUUUAUAUUAUUAUGU